GAACGGGUGAGUAAUGCAUCGGAACGUGCCAUUGAGUGGGGGAUAACGUAGCGAAAGUUGCGCUAAUACCGCAUAUUCUGUGAGCAGGAAAGCAGGGGACCGCAAGGCCUUGCGCUCUUUGAGCGGCCGAUGUCAGAUUAGCUAGUUGGUGAGGUAACGGCUUACCAAGGCGACGAUCUGUAGCGGGUCUGAGAGGAUGAUCCGCCACACUGGAACUGAGACACGGUCCAGACUCCUACGGGAGGCAGCAGUGGGGAAUUUUGGACAAUGGGGGCAACCCUGAUCCAGCCAUGCCGCGUGAGUGAAGAAGGCCUUCGGGUUGUAAAGCUCUUUCGGCCGGGAAGAAAUCGCAUGGGCCAAUACUCUGUGUGGAUGACGGUACCGGAAUAAGAAGCACCGGCUAACUACGUGCCAGCAGCCGCGGUAAUACGUAGGGUGCGAGCGUUAAUCGGAAUUACUGGGCGUAAAGCGUGCGCAGGCGGUUUUGUAAGACAGGCGUGAAAUCCCCGGGCUCAACCUGGGAACUGCGUUUGUGACUGCAAGGCUAGAGUACGGCAGAGGGGGGUGGAAUUCCACGUGUAGCAGUGAAAUGCGUAGAGAUGUGGAGGAACACCAAUGGCGAAGGCAGCCCCCUGGGUCGAUACUGACGCUCAUGCACGAAAGCGUGGGUAGCAAACAGGAUUAGAUACCCUGGUAGUCCACGCCCUAAACUAUGUCAACUAGGUGUUGGGUGGGUAAAACCAUUUAGUACCGUAGCUAACGCGUGAAGUUGACCGCCUGGGGAGUACGGCCGCAAGGUUAAAACUCAAAGGAAUUGACGGGGACCCGCACAAGCGGUGGAUGAUGUGGAUUAAUUCGAUGCAACGCGAAAAACCUUACCUACCCUUGACAUGCCAGGAACUUGCCAGAGAUGGCUUGGUGCCCGAAAGGGAGCCUGGACACAGGUGCUGCAUGGCUGUCGUCAGCUCGUGUCGUGAGAUGUUGGGUUAAGCCCGCAACGAGCGCAACCCUUGUCGUUAAUUGCCAUCAUUUAGUUGGGCACUUUAGCGAGACUGCCGGUGACAAACCGGAGGAAGGUGGGGAUGACGUCAAGUCCUCAUGGCCCUUAUGGGUAGGGCUCCACACGUCAUACAAUGGUCGGUACAGAGGGUCGCCAAGCCGCGAGGUGGAGCCAAUCCCAGAAAGCCGAUCGUAGUCCGGAUUGCAGGCUGCAACUCGCCUGCAUGAAGUCGGAAUCGCUAGUAAUCGUGGAUCAGCAUGUCACGGUGAAUACGUUCCCGGGUCUUGUACACACCGCCCGUCACACCAUGGGAGCGGGUUCCGCCAGAAGUAGGUAGCCUAACCGCAAGGAGGGCGCUUACCACGGCGG
rnacentral:rRNA from 1 species